GAGAUGAGUACUUAUAUGGUGGAGGUGGAGGAGAUGGGUACUUGUAGGGAGGAGGAGGAGACUUGUACUUGUAAACUGGUGGAGGAGGAGACUUGUACUUGUAGACUGGUGGUGGUGGAGAUGAGUACUUAUAUGGUGGAGGUGGAGGAGAUGGGUACUUGUAGGGAGGAGGAGGAGACUUGUACUUGUAAACUGGAGGUGGAGGAGAUGAGUACUUGUAUGGGUUCUUUGGUGGUGGUGGAGAGUGAUAGUAGUAGGGAGGAGGAGGUGAGUGCUUUGGUGGUGGAGGAGAGUGGUAAUAGUAGGGAGGAGGAGGUGAGUGUUUUGGUGGAGGUGGAGAGUGGUAGUAAUAAGGAGGAGGAGGUGAAUGCUUUGGUGGGGGAGGAGAGUGGUAGUAAUAAGGAGGAGGAGGUGAGUGCUUUGGUGGAGGUGGAGAGUGGUAGUAAUAGGGUGGAGGAGGUGAAUGCUUAGGUGGUGGGGGAGAGUGGUAGUAAUAAGGAGGAGGAGGUGAAUGCUUUGGUGGGGGUGGAGAGUGGUAGUAAUAUGGGGGAGGAGGUGAAUGCUUUGGUGGUGGUGGAGAGUGGUAGUAAUAGGGUGGAGGAGGUGAGUGUUUAGGUGGAGGUGGAGAGUGGUAGUAAUAGGGUGGAGGAGGUGAAUGCUUAGGUGGUGGGGGAGAGUGGUAGUAAUAAGGAGGAGGAGGUGAAUGCUUUGGUGGGGGUGGAGAGUGGUAGUAAUAGGGUGGAGGAGGUGAAUGCUUUGGUGGUGGUGGAGAGUGGUAGUAAUAAGGAGGAGGAGGUGAGUGCUUAGGUGGAGGUGGAGAGUGGUAGUAAUAAGGAGGAGGAGGUGAAUGCUUUGGUGGUGGGGGAGAGUGGUAGUAAUAAGGAGGAGGCGGUGAGUGUUUUGGUGGAGGUGGAGAGUGGUAAUAGUAUGGAGGAGGUGGUGAGUGUUUUGGUGGUGGAGGAGAUUGGUAGUAGUAAGGCUUUGGUGGUGGUG
rnacentral:lncRNA from 1 species